UGGAGGGGCCGGAGAGAAGAGAUACUGAGAGUGAAACAGCAAAACAGAGAGAGAGAGAGAAGGUAGAAGAGAUAGGGGGAGGGUAAAGAGUCUAAUGACGGCUAGAGAGGCAUUCUGAGGAACCCCUCACUUUUACAAGAGGUUUGGACACUGAAUGACUUUUGGUAGCUGUUUUCAACUUUCACUUUUGGAGUCUUUUUCCAGUUAAAGGAUAGAUGAUAUAGGACUCUUUUCAGGGAUUUUUAUUUAUUUAUUUUUUUAUGGAAUUUUGACUUUUAUUAAAGCAACUGGAAAUAGUUUUCCGUUCCAGUGGCAAGAUUCUUACAGAGUGGGCUAUCAUCUGGAGGUGGACAAGAUGAGAUCAGCGUGGAGUGUCUUCUUUCUUCUUUCUGUCUGUCUGCAGCUGGCAUAUGUGUUUUCAAGCACUCCAGCUCGUGCCCAUGCGGAAGAAAGACUCCUCCAAUCUUUGUUUAGCAAUUACAACAAGCUCUCUCGUCCAGUAGCAAACAUCUCAGAUGUGGUUCUGGUCCACUUUGGCCUGUCCAUUGCUCAGCUUAUUGAUGUGGAUGAGAAGAAUCAGAUGAUGACCACAAACGUCUGGGUGAAGCAGGAGUGGAACGAUUACAAGCUGCGCUGGAACCCAGAGGAGUAUGAGAAUGUCACCUCCAUCAGGAUCCCCUCCGAGAUCAUCUGGAGACCAGAUAUCGUGCUCUAUAACAAUGCAGACGGAGACUUUGCGGUGACUCACUUGACUAAAGCCCAGGUGUUUUACAACGGCAGGAUCAAAUGGAAACCUCCUGCCAUUUAUAAAAGCUCCUGCAGCAUCGACGUCACCUUCUUUCCCUUCGACCAGCAAAACUGCAAGAUGAAAUUUGGCUCUUGGACGUACGAUCAGGCCAAGAUCGACCUGGUCAGCAUGGCCAGUGACGUCGACCAGAUGGACUACUGGGAAAGUGGGGAGUGGGUUAUAGUAAACGCCGUUGGGACUUACAACAUCAAGAAGUACGAGUGCUGUACAGAAAUCUACCCAGACAUCACCUACUCCUUCAUCAUCAGACGUCUGCCUCUGUUCUACACCAUCAAUCUAAUCAUCCCCUGCCUGCUUAUCUCCUGCCUGACAGUGCUAGUCUUCUACCUUCCUUCAGAGUGUGCGGAAAAAAUCACGCUGUGCAUCUCCGUCCUCCUCUCUCUGACCGUUUUCCUACUGCUAAUCACAGAAAUUAUACCCUCGACCUCGCUAGUCAUCCCGCUCAUUGGCGAGUACCUCCUGUUCACCAUGAUCUUCGUCACUCUCUCCAUCAUCAUCACUGUGUUUGUGCUGAACGUCCACCACCGUUCGUCGCGCACGCAUAGCAUGCCACAUUGGGUCCGCCAGCUGUUUCUACACCUGGUGCCUCGUUACCUGUUCAUGAAGCGUCCGCCUGCCUCGGGUAAGAGGAACUGUGGGAAACUGAUCGAGAUGAUGCACAAGCCAAUGGCGUCACAGUCCAUGUUUCUGCGGAACAACUUUCUGGAUAUUUCUCCGCAAAGUCCGCUCCCCCAUUUGGACGUGCCCUCAGUUGCCCAGUUGGAUCAAAUUCAGCAGGACUCUUCUCCCAAACCCAUGUUUUUCUGCAGCUCUCCCAGCAGUCAGUAUUCUAUCCUGCAAGAGGAAACUUCGCAAACACCUCAAACUCCGGCCCUCGGUUAUACGUGUGCAUACACAAACAGCAUCUUUGCUUCAAGCACAGCUUCAUUUCCAAACACUAUCCUGGGUACUCUGCUGCACACCAUCCCACAGGAAGGAACUGAGUGUACAGACUGUGAUAUCCAAGGCCGGAGUGCUGAGAGUGUCUUCAUGGAAGCCAAAGAGAGCGUUCUGGGAGCAGGGAGUUGUCAACACCGUCUUACAUCUGAGGGGACGAGUCUGCAGAAACUUGAUCACGAGGAAGCCGGGAGGUGUACCAGACAUACCUUGCCCAAUGCUCAGAUCUUCAAUUCUAGCGGUGACAGUGCUACUGAUCUGAACACAGCGCAGCCGGGAAGCAAUCUGUCGCAGUCCCUGCUCAAAGCCCUGGAAGGAGUUCAGUACAUCGCUGACCAUCUGAGAGCAGAGGAUUCAGACUUUUCCGUGAGGGAAGACUGGAAAUAUGUUGCCAUGGUGAUUGAUAGAAUAUUCCUCUGGAUGUUUGUGCUGGUGUGCAUUCUGGGGACCGUCGGACUCUUCCUCCCACCGUGGCUGGCUGGAAUGAUCUAGAUCCUCGUGUGGAGUCUCUGAUUGGCUCUGUGUUGGUGGGGAAUGGCCUUGUCAAUCACACUUGACUUCUGUGACCUCAUUAAACAUCUGCUGUCACGGAAAUUAAGUGAUGUUUAAUGUCAGCGGUUCCCGGUGUAACAGGAAGUUAGUAGUGGGAUUCUGUGCACUUAAAGGACCGUUUUGGGUUAAAUGCACAUUUAUGAAAAAAAAAACAAUUAAAUAAAAUGAAACCAAUGUGAACACUUACUCUUAACAUCAACGAUUCUUUAUUCGGUGGAAAAUAUACAGGAAUUGUAACGAAGAUUGCUCGUUUCUAUCCAAAUACAACGAAGCUUUGAGAGUUAAAAAUUUACUCCACCCCAAAAUGAAAAGUUUGUCAUUAAUCACUCAUGUCGUUCCAAGUAUUUUGGAUGACAACCGGGUGGUUUGUGACUGUCCCAUUGACUGCCAAGUAAUAAACAUUGUCAAGUACCAGAAAAAUAUGAAAGACAUGGUCAGAAUAGUCCAUCUUUUAUCAGUGGUUCAACCGUUACAUUAUCAAGGUACGAGAGUACUUUUUGUACAGAAAGAAAACAACAGUGAAAAAGUUUUUUUUAAUUUAUUUUCAUACAAAAAGUAUUUGUGUAGUUUUAACUGUUUUUUUAUGCACAAUAUUUUAAAUUGAAGACGAACAAAGCUUUUACGAAUUUUGAACAGAGGGUAAGUGAUUAUUGACAAAAUUUUCAUUUUGGAGUGGAGUAACCCUAUAUGGUGGAGUAACCAAAUAGCUAGUUCCAAUUUACAAUUUUUUCACUAAUUGUGUAAAACUAAAAGUGUCUGAGGUCAUCAGUCUGUGUGCAGCAACUUGCCCUAUUUAACCUGGGACCUUCCUUUAAGGACAACUGGGUGAGUUGAUUCAGUCUGUCACUAUACACAUAUAUAAAACACAGACAUAAACUAAGAAUACAUCUAAUAUACAUCUAAGAAUACACAUUAAUAUUUUAACACUGAGAAUUAUUCAACCUUCGCUAGGAAUCAGACCAGUCAUACAACUUGAACUGUGUAUUGAUUGUUUUCCACGGUUGAAGCAGCAUAACUUCUGAUGUUCAUUCGUGUUUAUUCUCUGCAGUUAAUAUAAACUGAUGAUUGGUUCAUGUGCCGCUUGAACUGAGGAGAUAGAGCAAUCUGAGCCAGAUGAAAGUAAAUACUACGUCUGCACUUGGAUGGGUUACCAUGCUUAGCCACACUUCAGUUCAAACAAUAAAAACCAUUUUGUAGCUUUUUAAUGUGUCUUGACAGAUCGCUGUAACACCUCAGUUCAAGCGGCAUGUGAACUGACCUUCUUUUAGCAUUUACUUUGUGCAUAAAAUAAACAUGAAUGAACAUCAGAAGGUAUUUUAUUUCAACUGUGGAAAGAUGUCAACCAUUUUUCGACAUCUACUCUCCCGUCUGGUUUAUUUUCCUGUUGAAAAGCAUGUUUUGAACAUUGUUGAAGCAUAUUUAGAGCAGGAGCUAACCAGCUUAGGAGCAGCUGCCAUGAUUCAAAUCAUACCUAACCAGCUAAUGCUGUUUUUUUUAGCAGGUUUGUCAGAUAAAAUGGUGAAUUCAGCAUUAUGAUUGGUCAGAUCCUCUUUCAGUCCAGCUUCCUGCGAAAGGCCAAUUGAGAAUGACUUGCAGGAGAUUUUAGCUGUGAAAGGUGGUGGAUGAGUUGACCUACAAGAGAAGAGGUCACAGGUUGAGUUAAAUCAGUGCCUCGGGGCAGAUGGAAAGCUCAGGCUGUCAGAACGAACCAAUGCUGUCGUCCUCUUCAAGAGCAUCAUGCACCUGCAGCACCGAUAUUGGAUUUCGCCAUCCACACCAUAACGAAAGCUGUCAAAUAACCGAGUUACGCUGUCACUUUAAAACAUGUACUAACUGUUAUUCCUUUAUCUAUUGGGUAUGUCUUUGUAAUAAA